GGGUUUGGGUGGAGUUAAGGAGGAAUGAGAGAGCCGGGGGAGGAGAAAAGUCAUAGGAUCUUAGCGGGAGGGGCAUCGGAACUUUGUGAGGCUGGUUCCUUAUUCUAAUAUCCACAAUCCAAAAUCAAAAGCUACAGUUGUCUAGAGUUCUUUUGAUUUCAUCGAAAUAUAGAGCGAGUCCUUCCUCUUUUUUCACACAAAAUAAAACACAAUGCUAGCAUUUGAUUUUGAUA
rnacentral:lncRNA from 1 species